GUGAGGAGAGGAAGGAGCUAAACAAUAUAAUCUAUUUCUUUCACAUUUUCAGUGGAGCUGGCCUUGACUUCACAGACAAUGACAUUUUAUUUAUUUACUUAUUUUUGAGUUGUAAAAACUUGACAUUUUAAGUUUUAUUUUGAAAGAAUUGUAAAUUUAUAGAAAAGUUACUAAUAGACUACAGAUAAUUUGUUUUUGCUAUGAAUCGUUCAAAAAUAAGUUGCUAACCUGAUGCUCCACUACCUCCAAAUAUUUUAGUUUAUAUUUCUUACCAACAACUACAGCCUCCUAUAUAACCACAAUACAGUCUUCAUACUUAGACCCUGGUGAGGUUUCACUAAUUAUCUCAAUAAUGUCAUUUAUGGCCAAAGUAUCCUGACUUGGAAUCACAUGCUGCAUUUAGAUAUCAUGUCUCUUCAGUGUUUUUCAGUCCCGAACAGUUCCUCAGUCUUUAUUCAACUUUGUGACCUUUAUAUUUCUAAAGAUUAGAGGCCAUGGGCAUGUCAUAUUUCUGUAUAAUUGAAUUCAGUUAUAAAUAUUUGGCAGGAAUAUCACAGAAAUAAUGUUAUAUUCUUUUUAUGUCAUCCUAUCUUGUGGUAUAUGAUUUAAUUUUCCUCCAAUCUAUGAUAUUCACUUUGAUCACUACAUUUUUUUAAUAUUUCUUAUUGUCUGCCUGAUUAAUUAAUUACUAUUUGUCUAAAGUCUUGGUUUCCUAUUUUAGUAACAAUGAAUAGAUUAUAACGUGUUGCUAUCAUGAUUUACUUAGAUGCUCAAAUUGGUUUCGAUUCAACUAGUGGAACCCCUUCAAGCUGGCUUCUGUGUCCUAUUGACAUGUCACCAUUACUCUGGCAUAAAAAGAUUUUCCAAGAUCAUAUUGUAUUUUGCUUCCCCCAGUUCUGGAAUUUGCCAUUUCACUUCUCUGAGGAUCUUCAUUUCCUAGAGUGAAGAAUGGUAUUUAGAAGUCAAGAUCUGGAAACUAGGUAUGUUCUUUGCUAUGGAAUAUGUGUAUGGGAAUACAUGCAUAUAUAUAUAUAUAUAUAUAUAUAGAGAGAGAGAGAGAGAGAGAGAGAGAGAGACAGAGAGAGAGAGAGAUGUAUUUUUCUGAGUGUGUACACAUACACACAUUUAUAUCUUUUAUUUCUACAUUUAAUCUGUGUAUAUUGAAAGCCAUGCCUUCAUAUCAUAUCUCCAAUUUCAAUUCGAACACAAAGUUCAUUGCAGUUUUCUCAUUUUCUGUAUUUGUAUAUCUCUCCUCUGAGAGAAAUCUGGCUCCUAUUGUCUUUAAUUUAUCUAGUUAUUUGAUGAAUUCUACCACAUAUAACCAAUCUCCCAUAUCUGUCAUCACCUAUUCCCCAUGAAGAUGCUCUUCUCAUCUCACACAGGCUUCAAUAUCCUGACCGAGGCGAUGCCUCUCACCUGAAUGCCUUGGUCAUGCCAAUCAGGCUCUGAACCACCAGGCCAGAUCUCCCUUCUGUAUCAAUGCCCAUCUGGCACUGGGCUGCCUCCAAGUGUGAAUGCUCUCUUUACCUCACUCAGGUUCUGACUGCCCAUGCCAGGCUGCUCCCCAGGAUCACAGGCCCUCCUCUCUGUGCAUAAUAUCGGGCAACCUAUGCCAGGCCAUUCCUUCUACAGGGAAGCCAUGCUUACCCCACCUGGGCUCUAAAACCCCAUACUAGAUUGUCUUUCCAAGUCUGAACCUUCCUCAUCUUACGCUAAGCUGUCUUCAGGUGUGGAUGCUCUCUUCUUCUGAGAUUUCCUGUUUAAUAGAUUUUGGAUAUUCAUAUAUGUGUAUAUAUGAAUAUAGAUAUAUGAAUAUAUACAUAUAUACACACAUUUAUACAUAUAUAUUUAACAGAUCUGUAAUAUUUUACAUAUCAUGUCAUACUACAAUAUGAGUGGUGAAAACAAGGCAAAUUCAAAAGUCUGGGGGAAAUCCUGGACUUUUUUUCUUUAAUAGGACCAUAUUCUAUUUCGAAAAAUCUAUUCAUUUGUCCAGUACAUGACUCUUCUUCCAUUCAUUUGUUCCACCAUCAACUAUUUAUCAAGUGUUUUCCACAUUCUAGGUACUCUGCUACAUGCUAGAAAUACUAAGAUGAAUAAAACAUGAUCUUGGGGAACAAUUUCAGGAAGUAGACAGAUGGUAAAUAAAUAAGUACAGUAAAAUUUAACAGGUGAUAUAAAAAUAGUAUAUAUAGGGUAAAAUGAGGCCACAAAAGAUGAAGUAGCCAUUCUGUCUGAGGGUGUUGGGACCAAUAUUUAAUUCUCAGGUGCUUGGGCAAAGUUUCAAUAGCUGAGGAAGUUUCUGUCAAUAAGACAAUAAGAGAAGGAUAUAGAAACAGAAGAAAGAAAGAAGAAAGACACUGGUUUAUUAAGGAAGAAUAAACAGUGUGAUAUAAUAUAUAAUUUUUUUUCUUUAGACAGAGAGAGUAUCACUUUUUUGUCCAAGCUGGAGUGCAGUGGUGCAAUCUCAGCUCACUGCAACCUCCACCUCCCGGGUUCAAGCAAUUCUCCUGCCUCUGCCUCCUGAGUAGUUAGGAUUACAGGCGCCCGCCACC
rnacentral:lncRNA from 1 species